rnacentral:lncRNA from 1 species
GGGGAGUUUGUGACCUACACAAUACGAUGUAGAUUAGGAUUGAGUCUUCCAUGUAUUCUACGUUUACAACAAUCAAAGAUUGUGGGCUUUAGAAAGAUUUAUUUUUUUUGAAGGAGAAGGGGAGGUCGUGACCUACACAGAAUUUUUUUUUCUUGACAUGACCUACACAGAAUUGGGACAAAGAUUAACGUAGAUUGCAUUGCGUAUUUUACUAAAGGGCUUAAAAUAGACUGGUUAAUCUACACCGUUAUAAUUCGGUCCCACCAGAUUAACGGCUCCUAAUUACUGAUUAACGUGGUAAUUUCUUGGGAGUCGCUAAUUAGUAUAGAAUAAGCAUGGGCCCCACGGUUAAUUGUAUUAAAUACAUCUAGGGACGUUAGUUUCUUCUUCAAUAUUGUGGGGAAAAUACAAAAAAAAUGGGACUUCGAUACAAAAAGAAGAACACACAACUUAAAUGGUGACCUACAAUUUAAUUUUUAUAUAAGUAAUGUCUACUGCAUAUUGUAUCGCUCUAGUUUUUGAAACUCUUGGAUAAAAAUCUGUCAAAAUGUAAAGGUCCCCAGAACAAAUUUGGCGUAGGCAAUUGGACAGGCGCCCACCAGACUCUAAACCAUGAGUCGAUGCACUUGGACCUCUCUAGAGGUGCAGAUCAAGAUGCUAGAAACAACUGCUCGGGUGUCUUGCCGUAAAACUUUGUCUCCAAUCUCCAUGUACGCCAAGGUCAAAUCUGAUUAGGUAAUGAUCAUCGUACAAAAUCUAUUUCUUCUUCAAUAUAAUGCAAAAAAUACAAAAAAUGGGACUUCAAUGCAAACAAAAGAACACGCAACUUAAAUGACGACCUUCAAUUUAAUUUGUAUAUAUAAGUAAUGUGUAUUGUAUAUUGUAUCCCUCUGGUUUUUGAAACUCUAGGAGAAAUAUCUGUCGAAAUGUAAAGGUCCCCAGAUCAAACCUGGUGUAGGCAAUUGGAUCAGCGCUCACCAGACUCUGAACCAUGACUCAAUGCACCUGUACUACGCCAGAGGUACAGAUCAACAUGCUAGAAGCAACUCCUUAUGCGUCUUGCUGUACAACUUUGUCUCCAAUCUUCAUGUACGUCAAGGUCAAAUCUGAUUAGGUAAUGAACAUGGUACAAAAUCUAUUGUAUAGGUUAGUAACUAUCGAGGAAAACUACAGAAGGUUAGUAACUAUAGAGGAAAACUACAUGAAGAACGAAUAUCAGAAGAAGAAAUAGCCGGAGCUUCAUCGAAGACCAGAAAAUCUGAUCAAAUUGUGACGGAGAACUCAACAUGUAUACAUACAUUUUUUAUGAUGCAUAUGCGCUAACACAAAUAUCUCCUAAACAUCUUACUUAAUACCUGAAAAUCCGAGCAAAUUGUGAAGGAGAACUCAUCAUGUCAGCAUUCAUUAUUUAUGAUGCAUAUCCACUAACCCAGAUAUCUCCUAAACAUCUUACUUAAUUCAGCACCAGCAUCCCCAAUAUUUUUUACAUCGAUUCCAGUUCAAUCUGGUGCAGAAUAAAAGAUAAAUGUGGAAGUGGAAGAUAUAUAGAUUAGUUGAAAGAUAUGAUUGCGCCUAUCAAUUCUAAUUAAACCGUCUGGCAUCCUGGCUCGCUGAUCACGUUUCACCCCUGUACAUAUCUAUGCAUGCAUCCAUGACAUGCUUGGUUCAUAUGCUAUGGCCGAGAAUGUAUUUGAGCCUGUCAUCUACAACCGAACCUGCUUCUAGGCUGCCAUGCAUCCCGUGCAUUGCCGGCGAUGGGGUUACUCCGGCCCGAACUCACAGCAGCUACCACAACGCAGAGAACGAAGAUCUGGGAAAUUACAUGGUUAAAGCUUGAACAAAUGAACAAAUGAGAUGUGCAAACAGAUUGGGGAUUAAGGGCAUGGAAAUUCAAUCCAGCAUGCAGACCUAGCCAUGGAUCAAGACUUGAAGGAGCCCCAAACCAAGCCUGAAGACGAACAUCAAUGAAAAAUAAAAAUUCGGAUAAAAUUUGCAGGCAACCACAAACUCUCCUUCAGCAGGCUGACAUGAUACCUAGAAGUAGGCAGCAAACCAAUAGCAUCAUACUCCAUCACUGCACCUCGAAACCGAACCUGACGCGCUCAAGCACGCUGACUCGCACAACGGCCGCCACAACACAAAGAGAAACGAAGAUCCGGGAAAUCGCACGGAUAAAGUUUGAGCGCAUGAGGGGAUUAAGCGCUUGGAAAGUUUGAAGGCAUGAGGGUACGUAUUAAGCAUAUGGAAAGAUUGCUAUGAUCGACCGGCUGUAUGCAGCGAGGCGAACACGGCGGCUGCUUCUGCUGCGGUGGCGGCGUGUGUGAGAGGGUUUUUUAUUUUCUGAGAUGAGGCGAUGGGGAGUUCGUUUUUAGGGGAAGGAGAUGGGCAGUUUUUUUAGGGGAAGGAGAUGGGGAGUUUGUGACCUACACAAUACGAUGUAGAUUAGGAUCGAGUCUUCCAUGUAUUCUACGUUUACAACCAUCAAAGAUUGUGGGCUUUAGAAAGAUUUUUUUUUGAAGGAGAUGGGGAGGUCGUGACCUACACAGAAUUUUUUUUUUGACAUGACCUACACAGAAUUGGGACAAAGAUUAACGUAGAUUGCAUUGCGUAUUUUACUAAAGGGCUUAAAAUAGACUGGUUAAUCUACAUCGUUAUAAUUCGGUCCCACCAGAUUAACGGCUCCUAAUUACUGAUUAACGUGGUAAUUUUUGGGAGUCGCUAAUUAGUAUAGAAUAAGCAUGGGCCCCACGGUUAAUUGUAUUAAAUACAUCUAGGGACGUUAGUUUCUUCUUCAAUAUUGUGGGGAAAAAUACAAAAAAAUGGGACUUCGAUACAAAAAGAAGAACACACAACUUAAAUGGUGACCUACAAUUUAAUUUUUAUAUAAGUAAUGUCUAC